rnacentral:sRNA from 1 species
AAAAAACGACACAUAAA